GGUGGGUCACAGCUGACGACUCCUUCCAGCACAACAGCCAUCACUAGCACGGUGUGGGGUUUUUUUGUUUUUUUCUUUUUGUUUUGUUUAACCAAUGUAGUUAUAUUAGUAGUUCUAUAAAGGGAACUGCUUUUAACAAUUAAGGGACUGGGAGCAGUCCAUGGGAUGAAAAGGAAAGUGUUUUCUCGUGGGAAAACAUGUCAGGAAAAAUAAAGAACACUUCCUACCUCUGUUUCAGAUUUUUGAAACACUUAUUUUAAACCAAAUUUUAAUUUCUGUGUCCAAAAUAAGUUCUAAGGACAUCUGUUCUUCCAUAUGAAAUAGGUUAGGCUGCCUAUUUCUUGCUGAACUCAUGGAAUGGUUCUGCUUGUGAUCCUCUGCGCGGCCUUUUAGUGAGCGAGGAGUUUGGGGUUGCCUAGCAACCCACAAACUUGUACAAACUCAUCUUUCCCUCCCAGAAAGCAACGAAGGAAAACCAGGCAAAGUCAGUGAAAGACAAUCUUCGUAGUUUCAGGAGUACAUCUGUUUGUGGCUUCUGUCCAGCACGUAGAUGGAUGUCAAUGCAGCAACUUGUUUUAAAUAAUAAUGCACAAUUCACUCCCCCCAAAAGUUGCUCCUUGCCUUUUCAAGUUGUUGACGAACACACGUUUGAUAUUCUAUUAUAUAUUAUAGUAAUGUGACGUAUAAACUCGAGGCUUUUUAUUCUUUGUGAUAAACCCUGUUUUAAAAUGUCAUAAAACAGGAAUGAGCAUUCUAAUUAGAUUACUACAUCAACAUACGGUUCAACUAGGACUACUAGAGUUCAUUGAACACUAAAACUAUGAAACACUUUUUAUAUUAAAAAGACCAUGGAUUUAACUUACAAAAAUCCAAAUGCAGGAUAGUAAUUUUUGUUUACUUUUUUAACCAAACCGAAUUUUUCGAAAGACUUGUUUGCAGGUGUUUAAAAAGAAAGAAAAGUUGUUUUAUCUAAUACUGUCAGUAGUUGUCAUAUCCUGGAAAAUUGGAUAGUUUUAGAGUUAAGAUAACUCCUCUCCUUGGUUAGGGAAGAAGGAAGCCCUUCACCACUGUGGAAUGACGCCCUGGCUUUAAGGUCUGUCUCUACAUCAUGCUUCUUUUGAGACUUAUAUUCAGUAGUUAUAAUUACAGAAACUGAUUAGUUGUAAGUUUGCCGAUUUAGCACAGUACUCAUCACUCUGGAUAGAUUGAUAUGUUCUUUCACAACAGGUGAAUGAUCUGUAACACUGUAAGAGACUGAUCUUUACAACUGUUUAAUCAGUUUUAUUUUUGUACAGUAUUAGUGAUCUAAGUUAUUUUGCUGUCCUGUUUUUGUAAAUCAAAUGAAAUUAUAAUAGAGGAUUCUGACCGUAGGUAUUUUGUACAUAUGUAUAUAUGUUCAAAUAAAAAUAAUAAAAAUGAUAAAGAUUUCAUUGUUCCUGCUACUAUGUGUUUUAAACAGGGCCUGUUUUGCCAUAAUAGGGGCUACUACUUUAACCUGUGCCCACAGAAUUUUAUGAUGAGUACAAAGCUGAUUUUAUUACUUUAUGCUUUCAACAUGUGCAAUAUUUGUAUCGAUCUGUGUGUAUUUACUAUUCACAGACCUCUGAAGUAGUAGAUGGCAUGGGAGCUGCUUGAAACCACUAUUAUACUGGAGAGGAAUAUUCAUAUUUUCAGUUUGUAUGACACCAGUAACCUGGCAGCCAAGGAGAGUGGACUGGAAUGCACAUGCGUGGACAAUGAUGACUUCACCGUACUAGUCAACGAGGGCAGUCGAUGCUGUUGAGUAAGCAUACGUACUGUGUGGCCAUCACAUUGAAGAUGACUGAGUGAGUAGAGCUAUGAAUCUGUAUGAAAUUUUGUGUUAAGCUUGAACGUUCCACCCUAGAAACUAUUUAGAUGAUUCAGAAAGCUUUCAGGGACGAUGCAAUGAGUGCAGUGCGAAUAGAAGUGUGCCACAAACACUUCAAAGACAGUCCAGGGUUUGUUGAAAGUGAUCCACAUUCUGGAAGGCCUGCAACAAGCAGAACACCUGGGAAUGUUGGACAUGCAUGGGCUGCAAUCAACAAAGAUCGGUGACUUACACUGUGAGAACUAGAAGCUGAUCUGGAGAUUCUAAAAACUAGUGUGUCCAAGAUUUUGAUGCAGCAUCUUGGCAUGAACCAUUUAGUGGCAAAAUUCAUUCUGCGGCUUCUCCUCCCAGAGCAGAAGGAACAUUGUGCUGUAAUUGUUGAUGACUUGAUUCAAACCACUACCAAGGAACCAGAUUUCCUCAAGAAGGUCAUAACAAGAUGAAUUGUGGGUCUAUGGUUAUGAUCUGGAAAUGAAGGUCAAGUUGUCCCAAUGAAAGUCACCUGGUUCUUCACGCCUGAAAAAGAUACAGCAAAGCUGCAGCAAGACUAAGACCAUGUUGACUAUUUUUUUAUUGGAAAGGUGUUGUCCAGUCACUUGUAUGCCCCUCCAGGCCAAACAAUAAGGAGUACUAUCGCAAUAUUCUUUGUCAGUUGAGAGAUGCAGUACAACAAAAAUAGCUACAGCUAUAGGCAACUGGUGAUUGGCAGCUUCACCACAAUGUACCCUUUCAUGCAUCACAUCUUGAGCAGAGCUUUUGGGUGAAACAUCACAUCACCCAGGUAACUCAGCACCCCAAAUAUCAGCCCAGAUUUGGCACCCUGCAACUUCCAGCUUUUCCCAAAACUAAAUCACCUUUGAAAGGGAAGAGAUUUCAGACUGUCGAUGAGAUUCAGAGAAAUAUAACGGCAACUGAUGGUGAUUCCAACAAAGGAUUUUUGGAGUGUUUGGAACAGUGGUAGAGACACUGGGAGAAUUGUGUGAGGUCCCAAGGUGCCUACUUUCAAGGGGACUGAGGAGGCAUCCUUGUCCUAGGUAUAAUGUUUCUUGUAUCCUCUUCAAUAAAUGUUUCUACUGUUCAUA